UACGGGGGGAGCAAGCGUUGUUCGGAUUUACUGGGCGUAAAGGGCGCGUAGGCGGCCUCUGCAAGUCGACUGUGAAAUCUCCGGGCUUAACCCGGAAAGGUCAGCCGAUACUGCAGGGCUAGAGUGCAGAAGGGGCAACUGGAAUUCCUGGUGUAGCGGUGGAAUGCGCAGAUAUCGGGAGGAACACCAGUAGCGAAGGCGGCACUCUGGGCCGGUACUGACGCUGAGGAGCGAAAGCGUGGGGAGCGAACAGG
rnacentral:rRNA from 1 species